rnacentral:rRNA from 1 species
ACGGAGGAUGUACGGUGAAGAGAUUUCGGUCAAUCAUGUGCAUCUUUAGUGGCGGACGGGUGAGUAACGCGUGGGUAACCUGCCUUACACAGGGGGAUAACACUUAGAAAUAGGUGCUAAUACCGCAUGAGCGCACAGGACCGCAUGGUCGAGUGUGAAAAACUGAGGUGGUGUAAGAUGGACCCGCGUCUGAUUAGCUGGUUGGUGAGGUAACGGCCCACCAAGGCGACGAUCAGUAGCCGGCCUGAGAGGGUGGACGGCCACAUUGGGACUGAGACACGGCCCAAACUCCUACGGGAGGCAGCAGUGGGGGAUAUUGGACAAUGGGGGGAACCCUGAUCCAGCGACGCCGCGUGAGUGAAGAAGUAUCUCGGUAUGUAAAGCUCUAUCAGCAGGGAAGAAGAAAUGACGGUACCUGAGUAAGAAGCCCCGGCUAACUACGUGCCAGCAGCCGCGGUAAUACGUAGGGGGCAAGCGUUAUCCGGAAUUACUGGGUGUAAAGGGAGCGUAGACGGUGAUGUAAGUCUGGAGUGAAAGGCGGGGGCCCAACCCCCGGACUGCUCUGGAAACUAUGUGACUGGAGUGCAGGAGAGGUGAGCGGAAUUCCUAGUGUAGCGGUGAAAUGCGUAGAUAUUAGGAGGAACACCAGUGGCGAAGGCGGCUCACUGGACUGUAACUGACGUUGAGGCUCGAAAGCGUGGGGAGCAAACAGGAUUAGAUACCCUGGUAGUCCACGCCGUAAACGAUGAUCACUAGGUGUGGGUGGGUAUGGACCCAUCGGUGCCGCAAGCAACGCAAUAAGUGA